CCCGCGAGCGGCGCUAUCUGCAGUCGAGCGGACUUAGAAGCUUGCUUCUCUUGUUAGCGGCGGACGGGUGAGUAAUGCCUGGGAAUCCGGCCGGUAAUAGUGGAUUACCUUCGGAAAACCAGACUUAUUCCCGGAUCAUCCUUUUCUACACAUGUAGAAACCCUUCAGGACUUGCUCUUCUGAUGAUUCCAGAUGGGACCUACCUGCUGUAUGAUGUAAGGGGACGUCACGGCUACCAUCCGUAACUAUGCUGAGACGAUCAUCAAGCGCGAUGGAACUCACAGGCACUGAAAACUCCUCCAGAAUCCUACAGUGGGCAAUAUUGGACAAUGUUCCACAGCGUAGAACAGUCUUACCGAGCUGCGCCACAAGGUCGACGAAUGGUUUCGCAUCUUAAAUCUCUGUUAAUAGCGAAUACCUAAUACGAGAUUGUCUUGCUCGUACCUUGACGAUUCCUCACCGGAUAGCCUCGUUAACUACGCCGCCGUAAUCCGCAGUAAUACGA
rnacentral:rRNA from 1 species